AUGUGUGUAUAGUGUGUUCAUGAAAAGGCUGCUGAAGGUUUCAGCAUCUCCAAUACCGAGAGACACCAGUGGCAUAACAGAGACUGGCUCCGGGCCCAGUUACACAAGUGCCCAGCAGAAAGGAUCUUACAGCACGCUGUGUGAUGAGUGUGUUUGUGUUUUCUUUGCAUUAGCACUUUGGACACACCCUUCUGGAGGAUUUUCUUUGUAAACCAGUGACAUUGAAGGGAGGAGGGGCCACCGCCUGCUUUUGCUUUCCCUCCUAGUCAUGUGACACAUUCCCCUUCCAGUAACUAUGGCAACCAGCACUGGUCCAGCCUGUAUCUUGCUGCUAUGAGAAGGGGAGGAAGAGAGAAAGAAAAAGAGAGGAGAGAAAACCCAAAAUAAACACACUCUUCCCAGCAGCUGUCAGAGAUCGCAGGCGAAAAUAACCUAUGGCGGAAGUUGAAUCGCAAACAGAGAGCCUUUGAGUAAGCUGGACUGUGCCUGUCCCGUAAUCCCCGCUAGUCGGGUCAAGGGACCAUGGGAGAUGGAGGCGUCAAUGC